CCCUUAGAUGUCCGGGGCCGCACGCGCGCUACACUGAAGGAAUCAGCGUGGCUUUCUCCCUGACCCGAAAGGGUUGGGAAACCCGUUGAAUCUCCUUCGUGAUAGGGAUUGGGGCUUGAAAUUGUUCCCCAUGAACGAGGAAUUCCCAGUAAGCGCGAGCCAUAAGCUCGCGUUGAUUACGUCCCUGCCCUUUGUACACACCGCCCGUCGCUACUACCGAUUGAACGGUUUAGUGAGGGCCUCGGAUUGGUCUCGGCCCGCUCUUUACCGGGCGGCGCCGUUGGUCGAGAAGACGCUCGAACUUGAUCGUUUAGAGGAAGUAAAAGUCGUAACA
rnacentral:rRNA from 1 species